UACGUAGGGUGCGAGCGUUAAUCGGAAUUACUGGGCGUAAAGUGUGCGCAGGCGGCGCGGUAAGUCGGGUGUGAAAUCUUGGAGCUUAACUCCGAAACUGCAUUCGAUACUGCCGUGCUUGAGGACUGGAGAGGAGACUGGAAUUUACGGUGUAGCGGUGAAAUGCGUAGAUAUCGUAAGGAAGACCAGUGGCGAAGGCGGGUCUCUGGACAGUUCCUGACGCUGAGGCACGAAGGUCAGGGGAGCAAACGGG
rnacentral:rRNA from 1 species